GACGAACGCUGGCGGCGUGCUUAACACAUGCAAGUCGAACGGAAAGGCCCUGCUUUUGUGGGGUGCUCGAGUGGCGAACGGGUGAGUAACACGUGAGUAACCUGCCCUUGACUUUGGGAUAACUUCAGGAAACUGGGGCUAAUACCGGAUAGGAGCUCCUGCUGCAUGGUGGGGGUUGGAAAGUUUCGGCGGUUGGGGAUGGACUCGCGGCUUAUCCGCUUGUUGGUGGGGUAGUGGCUUACCAAGGCUUUGACGGGUAGCCGGCCUGGGAGGGUGACCGGCCACAGGGGGACUGAGAGACGGCCCAGACGCCUACGGGAGGCAGCAGGGGGGAAUAUUGCAGAAUGGGCGGAAGCCUGAGGUAGCAACGCCGCGUGCGGGAUGACGGCCUUCGGGGUGUAAACCGCUUUCGCCGGUGACGAAGCGUGAGUGACGGUAAUGGGUAAAGAAGCACCGGCUAACUACGUG
rnacentral:rRNA from 1 species